GAUGAACGCUGGCGGCGUGCCUAAUACAUGCAAGUCGAGCGAACGGACGAGAAGCUUGCUUCUCUGAUGUUAGCGGCGGACGGGUGAGUAACACGUGGAUAACCUACCUAUAAGACUGGGAUAACUUCGGGAAACCGGAGCUAAUACCGGAUAAUAUUUUGAACCGCAUGGUUCAAAAGUGAAAGACGGUCUUGCUGUCACUUAUAGAUGGAUCCGCGCUGCAUUAGCUAGUUGGUAAGGUAACGGCUUACCAAGGCAACGAUGCAUAGCCGACCUGAGAGGGUGAUCGGCCACACUGGAUCUGAGACACGGUCCAGACUCCUACGGGAGGCCGCAGUAGGGAAUCUUCCGCAAUGGGCGAAAGCCUGACGGAGCACCGCCGCGUGAGUGAUGAAGGUCUUCGGAUCGUAAAACUCUGUUAUUAGGGAAGAACAUAUGUGUAAGUAACUGUGCACAUCUUGACGGUACCUAAUCAGAAAGCCACGGCUAACUACGUG
rnacentral:rRNA from 1 species